CCUACGGGAGGCAGCAGUGAGGAAUAUUGGUCAAUGGCCGGAAGGCUGAACCAGCCAUGCCGCGUGAAGGUCAGUGCCCUAUGGGCGUUAAACUUCUUUUGUGCGGGAGCAAUAAUGGUCACGUGUGGCCAGACGAGAGUACCGUACGAAUAAGCAUCGGCUAACUCCGUGCCAGCAGCCGCGGUAAUACGGGGGAUGCAAGCGUUAUCCGGAUUUAUUGGGUUUAAAGGGUGCGUAGGCUGUGAGGUAAGUCAGCGGUGAAAUGCCCGCGCUCAACGGGGUGAAGUGCCAUUGAUACUGGCUGGCUGGAAUGCGGAUGCGGUGGGAGGAAUGUGUGGUGUAGCGGUGAAAUGCAUAGAUAUCACACAGAACACCGAUUGCGAAGGCAUCUCACGAGUCCGCGAUUGACGCUGAUGCACGAAAGCGUGGGUAUCAAACAGGAUUAGAUACCCCAGUAGUC
rnacentral:rRNA from 1 species